rnacentral:rRNA from 1 species
UGAGUACGAGACGCUAAGGCGUUGAAGUGGUGUAUGUCAUACUUCCAAGAAAAGCUUGCACUGUCAUAAAUAAAAAGUGCCUGUACCAUAACCGACACAGGUGGGUAGGUAGAGUAUACUAAGGGGCGCGAGAUAACUCUCUCUAAGGAACUCGGCAAAAUGACUCCGUAACUUCGGGAGAAGGAGUGCCUUAUUCGUAAGGCUGCAAUAACAAGAUCCAAGCAACUGUUUAUCAAAAACACAGGUCUCCGCUAAGUCGUAAGACGUUGUAUGGGGGCUGACGCCUGCCCAGUGCCAGAAGGUUAAAGAAGUUGGUUAGCAUUAGCGAAGCUGAUAACUGAAGCCCUGGUGAACGGCGGCCGUAACAAUAACGGUCCUAAGGUAGCGAAAUUCCUUGUCGGGUAAGUUCCGACCCGCACGAAAGGCGUAAUGAUUUGGAUACUGUCUCGGAGAGGGGCUCGGUGAAAUAGACUUGUCUGUGAAGAUGCGGACUACCUGCACCAGGACAGAAAGACCCUAUGAAGCUUUACUGUAACUUGAAAUUGAAAUUGGACUUUAGUCGCGCAGCAUAGGUGGGAGGCGUUGAAAAUAAUCUUGCGGGAAUAUUUGAGCCAUCAGUGAGAUACCACUCUUCUAAUGUUAGAUUUCUAACUUUGAACCAUUAUCUGGUCAAAGGACAGUUUCAGGCGGGCAGUUUGACUGGGGCGGUCGCCUCCUAAAUGGUAACGGAGGCGUACAAAGGUUUCCUCUGAACGGGUAGAAAUCGUAUCUAGAGUGUAAAGGCAUAAGGAAGCUUGACUGUGAGACCUACAAGUCGAACAGGGACGAAAGUCGGUCUUAGUGAUCUGACGGUACUGAGUGGAAAGGCCGUCACUCAACGGAUAAAAGUUACUCUAGGAUAACAGGCUGAUCUCCCCCAAGAGUUCACAUCGACGGGGAGGUUUGGCACCUCGAUGUCGGCUCAUCGCAUCCUGGGGCGGUAGUACGUCCCAAGGGUUGGGCUGUUCGCCCAUGAAAGCGGUACGCGAGCUGGGUUCAGAACGUCGUGAGACAGUUCGGUCCAUAUCCGGUGUAGGCGUUAGAAUAUUGAGAGGAGCCUUCUUUAGUACGAGAGGACCGAGAAGGACAUACCUAUGGUGUACCAGUUAUCGUGCCAACGGUAACGCUGGGUAGCUAAGUAUGGAGUGGAUAACCGCUGAAAGCAUCUAAGUGGGAAGCCCACCUCAAGAUGAGUAUUCUCAC